rnacentral:rRNA from 1 species
AGUGGCGAACGGGUGAGUAAUGUAUCGGAACGUACCUUUCAGUGGGGGAUAACGUAGCGAAAGUUACGCUAAUACCGCAUAUUCUGUGAGCAGGAAAGCAGGGGAUCGAAAGACCUUGCGCUGAUUGAGCGGCCGAUAUCAGAUUAGCUAGUUGGUGGGGUAAAGGCCUACCAAGGCGACGAUCUGUAGCGGGUCUGAGAGGAUGAUCCCCCCACACUGGAACUGAGACACGGUCCAGACUCCUACGGGAGGCAGCAGUGGGGAAUUUUGGACAAUGGGGGCAACCCUGAUCCAGCCAUGCCGCGUGAGUGAAGAAGCCUUCGGGUUGUAAAGCUCUUUCGGCCGGGAAGAAAUCGCAUAGGCUAAUACCCUGUGUGGGAUGACGGUACCGGAAUAAGAAGCACCGGCUAACUACGUGCCAGCAGCCGCGGUAAUACGUAGGGUGCGAGCGUUAAUCGGAAUUACUGGGCGUAAAGCGUGCGCAGCGGUUUCGUAAGACAGAGGUGAAAUCCCCGGGCUCAACCUGGGAACUGCCUUUGUGACUGCGAGGCUAGAGUACGCAGAGGGGGGGGGAAUUCCACGUGUAGCAGUGAAUGCGUAGAGAUGUGAGAACACGAUGGCGAAGCAGCCCCUGGGCGAUACUGACGCUCAUGCACGAAGCGUGG